rnacentral:rRNA from 1 species
UACGUAGGGGGCAAGCGUUGUCCGGAAUCAUUGGGCGUAAAGAGCUCGUAGGCGGUUUGUCGCGUCUGCUGUGAAAUCCGGAGGCUCAACCUCCGGCCUGCAGUGGGUACGGGCAGACUAGAGUGCGGUAGGGGAGAUUGGAAUUCCUGGUGUAGCGGUGGAAUGCGCAGAUAUGGGAGGAACACCGGUGGCGAAGGCGGUUCUCUGGGCCUGUACUGACGCUGGAGGAGCGAAAGCGUGGGGAGCGAACAGG